rnacentral:rRNA from 1 species
AGAGUUUGAUCCUGGCUCAGGAUAAACGCUGGCGGCGCACAUAAGACAUGCAAGUCGAACGGAAGUCGUUAUAAAAAGGAUUGAAGAUUUAUCUGAUUGAGAUUUUAUAACAAUGGCUUUAGUGGCGGACUGGUGAGUAACGCGUGAGCAACCUGCCUACUAGAGGGGAAUAACAGUGAGAAAUCAUUGCUAAUACCGCAUAUGCCAUGAACAUCACAUGAUGAAAAUGGGAAAAGAGUAAUCUGCUAGUAGAUGGGCUCGCGUCUGAUUAGAUAGUUGGUGGGGUAACGGCCUACCAAGUCGACGAUCAGUAGCCGGACUGAGAGGUUGAACGGCCACAUUGGGACUGAGAUACGGCCCAGACUCCUACGGGAGGCAGCAGUCGGGAAUAUUGCGCAAUGGAGGAAACUCUGACGCAGUGACGCCGCGUAUAGGAAGAAGGUUUUCGGAUUGUAAACUAUUGUCGUUAGGGAAGAUACAAGACAGUACCUAAGGAGGAAGCUCCGGCUAACUACGUGCCAGCAGCCGCGGUAAUACGUAGGGAGCAAGCGUUAUCCGGAUUUAUUGGGUGUAAAGGGUGCGUAGACGGGACAACAAGUUAGUUGUGAAAUCCCUCGGCUUAACUGAGGAACUGCAACUAAAACUAUUGUUCUUGAGUGUUGGAGAGGAAAGUGGAAUUCCUAGUGUAGCGGUGAAAUGCGUAGAUAUUAGGAGGAACACCGGUGGCGAAGGCGACUUUCUGGACAAUAACUGACGUUGAGGCACGAAAGUGUGGGGAGCAAACAGGAUUAGAUACCCUGGUAGUCCACACCGUAAACGAUGGAUACUAGGUGUAGGAAAUGAUUUCAUUUUCUGUGCCGUCGCAAACGCAAUAAGUAUCCCACCUGGGGAGUACGGCCGCAAGGUUGAAACUCAAAGGAAUUGACGGGGGCCCGCACAAGCAGUGGAGUAUGUGGUUUAAUUCGAAGCAACGCGAAGAACCUUACCAGGGCUUGACAUAUAGAUGAAUAACUAAGAGAUUAGUUAGUCCUUCGGGACAUCUAUACAGGUGGUGCAUGGUUGUCGUCAGCUCGUGUCGUGAGAUGUUAGGUUAAGUCCUGCAACGAGCGCAACCCCUGUGAUUAGUUGCCAACAGGUUAAGCUGGGAACUCUAAUCAGACUGCCGGUGAUAAAUCGGAGGAAGGUGGGGAUGACGUCAAAUCAUCAUGCCCUUUAUGUCCUGGGCUACACACGUACUACAAUGGCUGUAACAGAGAGAAGCAACACCGCGAGGUAGAGCGAAACUCUAAAAGCAGUCUCAGUUCGGAUUGAAGGCUGAAAUUCGCCUUCAUGAAGCCGGAAUUGCUAGUAAUGGCAGGUCAGCAUACUGCCGUGAAUACGUUCCCGGGCCUUGUACACACCGCCCGUCACACCAUGAGAGUUGGGAAUACCCGAAGCCUGUGAGCCAACUGUAAAGAGGCAGCAGUCGAAGGUAGAAUCAAUGAUUGGGGUGAAGUCGUAACAAGGUAGCCGUAUCAGAAGGUGCGGCUG